GGCUCGCGGCGAGGAGGUCUGCUUCCGAGGCGGCUGAAGAGGUUUGGUAGUGGGCCCAGCGGGUGGCCCGGGUCACCGCCCGCUCUUCGGCGGCCAUCUUGCCCGCGCCCGUCUCCCGCGGCGGGGGGGGCGGCGUACAGGCCGGAAACGUCUGUGUGGCGACACGCCACCUCCUCAGGGACAUAGCAAGCUUCUCAAGACAUGGUUAAGAAGCUUCCUUUCUUUGUGAGAAUCUAGUGAAUGGACCUGACUGGACUUUUUAAGCCCAUCAAUAAACAUGAGCGGUACCAAGCCUGAUAUUUUGUGGGCACCACACCAGGUUGAUAGAUUCGUUGUAUGUGACUCAGAGCUGAGCCUUUAUCAUGUGGAAUCGGCUGUGAAUUCAGAACUCAAAGCUGGAUCAUUACGUUUAUCUGAAGACUCUGCAGCUACAUUACUGUCAAUAAACUCAGAUACACCCUAUAUGAAAUGUGUUGCGUGGUAUCUCAAUUAUGAUCCUGAGUGUCUCCUAGCAGUUGGACAAGCAAAUGGUCGAGUUGUACUUACAAGUCUUGGUCAAGAUCAUAACUCUAAGUUUAAAGAUUUGAUAGGAAAAGAAUUUGUUCCAAAACAUGCUCGACAAUGCAAUACGCUUGCGUGGAAUCCACUGGAUAGUAACUGGCUUGCUGCUGGUCUAGACAAACACAGAGCUGACUUUUCAGUUCUGAUAUGGGAUAUCUGCAGCAAAUAUACUCCUGAUAUUGUUCCCAUGGAAAAAGUGAGACUUUCAGCAGGUGAAGCUGAAACAACAUUAUUAGUAACAAAACCACUGUAUGAGUUAGGGCAGAAUGAUGCUUGUCUAUCUCUUUGUUGGCUUCCACGAGACCAGAAGCUUCUUCUUGCUGGCAUGCAUCGUAACCUAGCCAUAUUUGAUCUUCGGAACACAAGCCAGAAGAUGUUUGUAAAUACAAAAGCUGUUCAAGGAGUGACAGUGGACCCUUACUUCCAUGAUCGUGUUGCUUCCUUCUAUGAAGGUCAGGUUGCAAUAUGGGAUCUUAGAAAAUUUGAGAAGCCAGUUUUGACUUUGACUGAACAACCAAAGCCCUUAACAAAAGUAGCAUGGUGUCCAACUAGGACAGGCCUGCUUGCUACUUUAACAAGGGAUAGUAAUAUUAUUAGGCUGUAUGAUAUGCAGCACACACCCACUCCCAUUGGGGAUGAAACUGAGCCCACAAUAAUUGAAAGAAGUGUGCAACCUUGUGACAAUUACAUUGCUUCCUUUGCAUGGCACCCAACGAGUCAAAAUCGAAUGAUAGUUGUGACUCCCAACCGAACAAUGUCUGACUUCACUGUAUUUGAAAGGAUAUCUCUUGCCUGGAGCCCGAUUACAUCUUUAAUGUGGGCUUGUGGUCGCCAUUUGUAUGAGUGUGCAGAAGAAGAAAGUGAUAAUACCUUAGAAAAAGAUAUAGCAACAAAAAUGCGCCUUCGGGCUUUAUCAAGGUAUGGACUUGAUACCGAACAGGUAUGGAGAAACCACAUUUUAGCUGGCAAUGAAGACCCACAGCUCAAGUCACUCUGGUAUACUCUGCACUAUAU
rnacentral:lncRNA from 1 species